GAUGAAGAACGUAGCGAAAUGCGAUAAGUAGUGUGAAUUGCAGAAUUCAGUGAAUCAUCGAAUCUUUGAACGCACAUUGCGCCCCUCGGUAUUCCGUGGGGCAUGCCUGUUCGAGCGUCAUUUAACCCCUCAAGCCUAGCUUGGUAUUGGGUGCUUGUCCCGCCUCUCGCGCGGCGACUCACCUCAAAGUCAUUGGCAGCCCGCAUCUCGCCGGCCGUGAGCGCAGCACAGACGCGCUCUUGGCAACGACGGAUCGGCUCUCCAAAAGCUUAUUUCAACCACUGACCUCGGAUCAGGUAGGGAUACCCGCUGAACUUAAGCAUAUCAAUAAGAGGAGGA
rnacentral:misc_RNA from 1 species